rnacentral:rRNA from 1 species
AAAAUGACUCUCGGCAACGGAUAUCUCGGCUCUUGCAUCGAUGAAGAACGUAGCGAAAUGCGAUACUUGGUGUGAAUUGCAGAAUCCCGUGAACCAUCGAGUCUUUGAACGCAAGUUGCGCCCGAAGCCGAUAGGCCGAGGGCACGCCUGCCUGGGUGUCACGC